UCUUUAUUUCAGGAACUACUUCAGCAGAAGCGGCGAUCAAGGUACAAAAUACAUACAGCCAAGCACCAAGAUAAUUUAAUCUCUGUUUUCGCACUUCUUCUCCCACUACAAACGUAAAUAAUAAAUAUGUAUAUGUAUCGGUUUGUUUGAUCCAACGCCACCGGCUUGCGGCUUUUCCAACGCAACAGUGUGUUAUGCUGGAUUGUUGAUAGACAGAUAAACACAACCGUCCAUCGAGUGCAGUUGAUUCAACAUGUAUUUUGCAUUUCGUGCGUUCUGAACAGUGCAAAUAACGACCAACCAUGGGACUCUGCUGUUCAUGCCUGGAAGAUAAUACGCGGCCUAGCCGAGGAGGGGAAUCACCCCCUCCAUUUGUACAUGUUCAGCAGCCAAGGCCACAACAACGACAACAGCAAAUGGCCAACGGCCACAACCUGUUGAUCGAACCGAGGGUUGCCGUGAGGGUUGCUCCCAGGCCCAGAGAGCAGCUGCUGGUGAUCCUCGAAAUGCAGCAAUGUAUAGCAUGUGGUCAAGACGGUCAUACCAGGGAGACAUGUCGCUACCGGGAGAGACUUUGUUUCUAUUGUCGCGAGGAGGGCCACAUCAUUGCAGUUUGUCCGGCCAGAAGGCGCCAGCGACAGAGACGAGAGCAACGUAGACCCGUGCAGCGAAGACAGCGUAGACAGGCGGCUCUACGCUUCUAAAGUGCCAUUUCCAUAAACACUGUUUCCAAAGGAGUAGAAAAAGAUCUCCGUUUCAACCAUGUUUAGUCUAGUUUAAGCUAACCAUACGAGUAAAUGUAUUUAUUGCAUUGUCAGCAAUAUGCCAACAUCCAGAGAACGAUCGAUGUUAAGAUCGUUUAAGUUGAGUUUUGUUUAUCUGUUCAUGUUUGGUGGUGUUUGUCACUGUUUUUAACCUACCUCCAUGCGUGUGGGGAAAAUCCCGGACACUGAUCCGGGCACUCGUCGCACUCUGUGCCAUCGAAGAUUUCGUUGAUGAUCACCUGGAAUAAAUGAAAACAAAAGACUUUGUGAGAUA